rnacentral:rRNA from 1 species
UACGUAGGGGGCUAGCGUUGUCCGGAUUUAUUGGGCGUAAAGAGCGUGCAGGCGGCCAGGUAGGUCCGCUGUGAAAGUCCGAGGCUCAACCUCGGAAUGUCGGCGGAAACCCUCUGGCUAGAGUCCGGAAGAGGAGAGUGGAAUUCCCGGUGUAGCGGUGAAAUGCGCAGAUAUCGGGAAGAACACCCGUGGCGAAGGCGGCUCUCUGGAACGGUACUGACGCUGAGACGCGAAAGCGUGGGGGAGCGAACAGG